rnacentral:misc_RNA from 1 species
CCAAUAGCGUAUAUUAAAGUUGUUGCAGUUAAAAAGCUCGUAGUUGAAUUUCGGAAUUCUUUUAUUGGUUGAAUCAACAGGUUCGUACUGAUUUUAAGAAUUUCUACCUUCUGGAGAACCUUAAUGUCAUUUAUUUGGUGUUUUGGGGAACCAGGACUGUUACCUUGAAAAAAUUAGAGUGUUUAAAGCAGGCUUAUGUCUGAAUAUAUUAGCAUGGAAUAAUGAAAUAGGACGGCAUGGUUCUAUUUUGUUGGUUUCUAGGAUCACCGUAAUGAUUAAUAGGGAUAGUUGGGGGCAUUAGUAUUCAAUUGUCAGAGGUGAAAGUCUUGGAUUUAUUGAAGACUAACUUCUGCGAAAGCAUUUGCCAAGGAUGUUUUCAUUAAUCAAGAACGAAAGUUAGGGGAUCGAAGACGAUCAGAUACCGUCGUAGUCUUAACCAUAAACUAUGCCGACUAGGAAUCGGACGAAGUUAAUUUUUUAAUGACUCGUUCGGCGCCUUACG